rnacentral:rRNA from 1 species
CCAUGCAUGUCUAAGUAUAAAUGAUAUACAGUGAAACUGCGAAUGGCUCAUUAAAACAGUUAUAGUUUAUUUGGUAAUCGAAUUUACAUGGAUAACCGUGGUAAUUCUAGAGCUAAUACAUGCUGUAAAGCCCGACUUCACGGAAGGGCCGUAUUUAUUAGAUAACAGACCAAUAUUCCUCGUGUCUAUUGUGGUGAAUCAUAGUAACUAAUCGGAUCGCAUGGGCUAGUCCCGCGACAAACCAUUCAAGUUUCUGCCCCAUCAGCUUUCGAUGGUAGUGUAUUGGACUACCAUGGCUUUUACGGGUAACGGAGGAUUAGGGUUCGAUUCCGGAGAGGGAGCCUGAGAAACGGCUACCACAUCUAAGGAAGGCAGCAGGCGCGUAAAUUACCCAAUCCUAAUUCAGGGAGGUAGUGACAAGAAAUAACGGGUCGGGGCUAUGCCCCGGGACUGCAAUGAGAUGAAUUUACACCCCUUUUCGAGUAACAAUUGGAGGGCAAGUCUGGU